UUUCCUGGACUCCCGCAAAGUGAACGUGGCAGGGAGAAGCCACGAAAAUGGGGCAUUGCUGGAGAGCGACUAGCGAAUACAGAAGCCUUACUGUGAGAGAAAUGCUCGUCUCCCGGAACAAAAAAGAGGCAAAUAAUAAUGAAUGUGUUUGACCCUCACAUGAUAAGCUCGCUCCUGCAGAGAAAUUCUGUGGUGCAUUCUACAAUAGGAUCACCUGCGAACAAGCCCUGAAAAUGGAUGGCGCUUGGGCGAGAGACCUAUACACAACCGUUGCUGGCUUGUGCGUUGUGUUACGCUUUGCCGCAACGAGUAGGAGGGUGGUGGCGGUUGCUUCGAAGGCUCUGGGCUUAGGCCCAGCUAGAGAUUUCGUCAGUGCAGAUCUCGGUGGCAGUAGCAAAUAUUUAAGUUUGAUCCUUGAAGACUGAAGUGGAGAAGGGUUCCACGUGAACAGUAGUUGGAUUUGGGUCAGUCGAUCCUAAGUACAUAUAUUCUCUCAGCACGUCUAACACGAACAAAGAACACAAUAUCUCCAGAAGGUGAACAAAUUUGAAUUGAUGAUGAAUUUAAUUGAGAAGUCGCACUUUUUUCAUUGAAAAAAACCUCUCAAUUUAUUAAUUUACGAGGGAACAUUUGCGUGAAUGUUUUGCAUUUGUGCUUUUCUUUUCUCUUGUUUUUCAAGUCCAGCGAAUUAAUUUGACCAGUCUUCAGUUUAAUCACCUUCUUUCGUGCACGUGUUGAAUAAUCGUUCUGUUUUAAUGAGUAAGAAAUGUGUAGAGUUGUUAUCAGUGUUUUAUAUAUUCAGAUAUAAUGGUGUCCCUGUUGUACGGAUUCACCAAAAGAAGGGUAGACGAGCGGAGGCGUGGGAUGAAUGGCAGACCACGUCUAGGUCAACGUCAAUCAUGUCGACGUGCCUACUA
rfam:Necator americanus N_americanus-1.0_Cont330.34, whole genome shotgun sequence.